rnacentral:rRNA from 1 species
AGAGUUUGAUCCUGGCUCAGAACGAACGCUGGCGGCGUGCUUAACACAUGCAAGUCGAACGAAGCCAUUUCCUUCGGGAGAUGGACUGAGUGGCGAACGGGUGAGUAACACGUAAGUAACCUGCCCUCCGGACUGGGAUAACGCCCCCAACGGGGUGCUAAUACCGGAUGACAUCCUUUGACUUCGUUGUCGUUGGAUCAAAGGUGGCCUCUCAACGAUGCUACCACCGGGGGAGGGGCUUGCGCCCCAUUAGCUUGUUGGUAGGGUAACGGCCUACCAAGGCUGCGAUGGGUAGCCGGCCUGAGAGGGUGAUCGGCCACACUGGGACUGAGAUACGGCCCAGACUCCUACGGGAGGCAGCAGUGAGGAAUAUUGCGCAAUGGACGAAAGUCUGACGCAGCAACGCCGCGUGGGGGAUGAAGGCCCUUGGGUUGUAAACUCCUUUUGGGUGGAAAGAAACGGUGCGGUACCUAAUACGACUGCACCUUGACGGUACCACCAGAAAAAGCCCCGGCUAACUCCGUGCCAGCAGCCGCGGUAAUACGGAGGGGGCAAGCGUUGUUCGGAAUUACUGGGCGUAAAGGGCGUCUAGGCGGCCGCGUAAGUUGGAAGUGAAAGCCCCAGGGCUCAACCCGGGAAUUGCUUUCAAAACUGCACGGCUUGAGUACGGGAGAGGAGAGUGGAAUUCCCAGUGUAGCGGUGAAAUGCGUAGAUAUUGGGAGGAACACCAGUGGCGAAGGCGGCUCUCUGGACCGCUACUGACGCUGAAGCGCGAAAGCUAGGGUAGCAAACAGGAUUAGAUACCCUGGUAGUCCUAGCUAUAAACGAUGGGUACUAGGUGUUGGGGGUAUCGACCCCUCCAGUGCCGCAGCAAACGCAUUAAGUACCCCGCCUGGGGAGUACGGUCGCAAGAUUGAAACUCAAAGGAAUUGACGGGGGCCCGCACAAGCGGUGGAGCAUGUGGUUUAAUUCGACAACGCGAAAAACCUUACCGGGGUUUGACAUGUAUCGGACGGACGGUGAAAGCCGUCUUUCAAUCUCUUCGGAGUGCGACCGAUUCACAGGUGCUGCAUGGCUGUCGUCAGCUCGUGUCGUGAGAUGUUGGGUUAAGUCCCGCAACGAGCGCAACCCCUACUCUUAGUUGCCAACAGGUAAUGCUGGGGACUCUAAGGGAACUGCCGGUGAUAAACCGGAGGAAGGUGGGGACGACGUCAAGUCCUCAUGGCCUUUAUGCCCCGGGCGACACACGUGCUACAAUGGCCGGUACAAAGGGCUGCAAAGUCGCGAGACCAAGCCAAUCCCAAAAAACCGGUCUCAGUUCGGAUUGGAGUCUGAAACCCGACUCCAUGAAGUUGGAAUCGCUAGUAAUCGUGGAUCAGCACGCCAUGGUGAAUACGUUCCCGGGCCUUGUACACACCGCCCGUCUCACCACGAAAGUUGGCUGCACUAGAAGCCGUUGCGCCAACCAUC